UACGUAGGGUGCAAGCGUUAAUCGGAAUUACUGGGCGUAAAGCGUGCGCAGGCGGCUUUGCAAGACAGAUGUGAAAUCCCCGGGCUUAACCUGGGAACUGCAUUUGUGACUGCAUGGCUGGAGUGCGGCAGAGGGGGAUGGAAUUCCGCGUGUAGCAGUGAAAUGCGUAGAUAUGCGGAGGAACACCGAUGGCGAAGGCAAUCCCCUGGGCCUGCACUGACGCUCAUGCACGAAAGCGUGGGGAGCAAA
rnacentral:rRNA from 1 species